ACAUUUUUUCUAGAAGUUAAUUUGAAAUAGGGCCUGCCCACUGUGUAGAUGAAGGGCCGCGGUAUUAUGACCGUGCUAAGGUAGCAUAAUCAUUAGUCUCUUAAUUGGGGAAUGGUAUGAAUGGCUUAACUUACAAAUAUUUUAUUAUUCAAAAAAAUCUAAUUUUAAAUUUAGAUGAAAAUUUCUAAUUUUAUUAACAGGACGAUAAGACCCUUUAGAGCUUUACAUUGAAAAUUUUUAUUCAGGGGUAGUAAUAUUGAAUUUUAGAAAAAAGAUGUUUUGUUGGGGCAAUAAAAGAAUAAUUUUAACUUCUAAAAAAAAUCUUUAAUUUAGAAAUUUAAUAAGUUACCUAAGGGAUAACAGCGUUAUUGUUAUGGAGAGUUCAUAUCGAUAUAAUAGUUUGCGACCUCGAUGUUGAAUUAAAAAAAAUUUCAGGAGCAGAAGUUUGAAAUUUUAGUCUGUUCGACUAGUAAAGUUUUACAUGAUUUG
rnacentral:rRNA from 1 species